AUGGUUGUACACAAAAAGCACUGGGCAGUAGUAGUUGCUAACAUCACCCAAAAGGAGUUCAAUAUAUUUGACUCCAUCAGGAACUCGGAAGACCUUUUUAAGAUGGACAGGAUCACUAAGAAUGUGGUCGCAAACAUCAAGAGUGUUGCAAGGAGGGAGCCACUUUUUAAGCACAAUCUCGAGUCUUGCUCGCUAUUCACCCCACUUGAUUACCCUCAACAAAAAACUUACUAUAACUGUGGCUACUAUAGUAUUUUAUACGUGGAGAAUUGGGAUGGCCUUGUUAUGCUGUCAUUUGGCGAGGAUUACAUCCCAAACCUUCGGAAACGCAUUGCAGUAGAUCUGUUGAGACACCCAAGCAACAAGUUGGACCCCGCGCAUCAGCUAAAGCUGCUUCUUCAGCGUUAG
rnacentral:rRNA from 1 species